UGGGGAAUUUUGGACAAUGGGCGAAAGCCUGAUCCAGCAAUGCCGCGUGUGUGAAGAAGGCCUUCGGGUUGUAAAGCACUUUUGUCCGGAAAGAAAUCCUUGGCUCUAAUACAGUCGGGGGAUGACGGUACCGGAAGAAUAAGCACCGGCUAACUACGUGCCAGCAGCCGCGGUAAUACGUAGGGUGCAAGCGUUAAUCGGAAUUACUGGGCGUAAAGCGUGCGCAGGCGGUUUGCUAAGACCGAUGUGAAAUCCCCGGGCUCAACCUGGGAACUGCAUUGGUGACUGGCAGGCUAGAGUAUGGCAGGAGGGGGGUAGAAUUCCACGUGUAGCAGUGAAAUGCGUAGAGAUGUGGAGGAAUACCGAUGGCGAAGGCAGCCCCCUGGGCCAAUACUGACGCUCAUGCACGAAAGCGUGGGGGAGCAAAACAGGAUUAGAUACCCUGGUAGUCCACGCCCUAAACGAUGUCAACUAGUUGUUGGGGAUUCAUUUCCUUAGUAACGUAGCUAACGCGUGAAGUUGACCGCCUGGGGAGUACGGUCGCAAGAUUAAAACUCAAAUGAAUUGACGGGGUCAUAGCUGUUUCCU
rnacentral:rRNA from 1 species